CCCAACGCUGGAGCCUGCCUGGGCUCUUUGGUGGGGCUAAUGGCAUACUCUGGGAGGGCUCCCGCCAAGGAGUACUUCCCAGAACUUCUGCUGCCAGUGUCCCUGUACUCUCGGUGAGACAGAGCCACCCCCUGCCUCUGCAGGAGACCCUCCAACACUAGCAGGUCGUGUCCUCAGCCUUGUGUUUGGGCAUGAAAGCAUCCUGGACGUUGGGCAUCUAGGUCUUCUCUCAGCACCACCUCUGGACCAGUUCUGUGGACCCCAGCCCUUGCUUCAGACCUUUCUGUUUUGGGGUCACACGGCAGCUUGGUGUGUUAAGGGCAAGCCUCACCGGCAUCUAGGUUUCCCCAUACAUUGCUUUGAUGUUCCCUCGUCAGCAGCAGCCUCAGUCUCUGUGUCACACUGAGAGCCAGCCCCUAUUUCAUAAUCACUAUUAACUUUCAAAAGUAGGUCCCUAUUUGGCACUGCCCACUCAGCACGAGGUGCUAACGUCGGCACUACUCACUGCUAAGUUCUUUGUGCGUCUGAGUCAGCUCCUUACUUUCCCUACUCCGUCUCUAAAGGUGGCCUCUGCUUCUUUUCCUGGCUUCACACUCUGGGUGAGGAGAAAGGUAGUGAGAUGCUCCUAAGACCAAAGUCAUGAUUGCUCCCCUUUCCUGAGGGUCUCCAGACACAGGUUCAGGGGCACGUGUAGGUUUGUAUGUUCUGAGGGGAGAAAUGAUUCCACAACAGAAAGAAGUGGCCUCACAAGAAUGGAAGGACAACUUCAAACAUGCUGUCAGUAACUCAUCAAAUGACAGCGAUGCAGUAACCCUUCAGGUCACGCCUGGCAGCCAGCUGAUCCUGGGCAGGGGAAACCAAUGGCCAAAGAAAGGAGGAAGCACACCUGAGCCAACCUGCUCACAAGCUGCAAUAUGUAAACGUGGGUACAAAGCGGUUACUUAAUUCCUGCACCUGUUCUGACUCAGCACACGCUUGAAGUACUUUUUUUUUAAUUGUAACAUCUUUAUUGGAGUAUUAUUGGUGUACAAUGUUGUGUUAGUUUCUGCUGUAUGAUGAAGUGAAUCAGCUAUACGUAUAUACACUUGAAGUAUUGGGCCAGGAUUUGACAGGAUGCCAGUGCUGGCAGCACACGCAGAAAAUUUCACGGUGACACCACCCAGAUGGUGCCAGGAAAGGGACACAGAGCCCAGUGGGCUCUGCCUGCAGCUCUGGAGGAGAAGCCUUCCUCCUGCCUGCAGGGAAGACUUGGGCUGAUGCCUGGCUCCCCUGGAGUAGCCUGCAAAAUAAACUAGCAUGGACCUGACAUUUAAAAAUUCGUCAGCUGUAGAUUUUCAAAGUGUAUCAAUGGGGUUUGGGUUUCAUGAUUGCUGCUAAAAAAAUGUGAGCAACUCGCAUGACUAUAUUCAAUUUUCACUGAUUUAAUUACUGCUAAGAAAAGAAACUGCCAGAUGGAAAAGACAUCGGCAUCACAUUUCUCACGGUGUUCAAGUUGGCAUCAGCAUUGAUCAAAACCUUGCAGUGGCCUCUCGUUUCCAUCCGUGGUUUUAAAGUGACUGUACUUAGGUGACUUAUUUGUGAUCCCCUCUUCAUUACUGUGUCUUGGACAGUAUCAAAACAGACCUGCCUGGGGCUUCCCCGGUGGCGCAGUGGUUGAGAGUCUGCCUGCCGAUGCAGGGGACACGGGUUCGUGCCCCGGUCCGGGAAGAUCCCACAUGCCGCGGAGCGGCUGGGCCCGUGAGCCAUGGCUGCUGAGCCUGCGCGUCCGGAGCCUGUCACAACAGUGAGAGGCCCGCGUACCACACACACACAAAAAAGACCUGCCUGUGGCUGUUUAUAUAAAUCUUUAAGUUCAGUAUCUUGUGAGCUUCCAGAACUUUUGUUGGCAGAAUAUGGUAGUGCUUUAUAAAUGCAUGUGGGAGAAAACCUUGAAAAGAUGGUAGACUCGUUUAUAGAAGCGGUAGCAAACAAUGACCUUUCUGGAACAUAGAAAAAAAAAUAUAUGCAUCUGCUUUAAGCAGCUUUUUAUUAGUGAAAUGCACGGCUUACGUUAUAAGUAGUAAAACCUAAGCCUUGGCAGCAGUUUUAAUUCUCCAGGGAGCACAGAUUAUGUUCAAAGGGCUAAGAUGGUUCAUGGUAAGAUCAGAAUGGGUUACGGAACAAUUAGAGAGAAAAUUCAACUCAAAAUAAAUGUCGACUGAGUGGUUCUAGGACUGAGCAUUUUUACUGGCGGGUGAGGUGUCUAACAUUUGGAUGCAUUUGAAUUAUCGUCACAGAGUGACAGAGGACCUUAGCUGUCAUCUUCUCUCUUUUCCCCAGCCUCCAGUCCUGGAACCUCUGACAGCUGAUAUGGUUGACCUUGCCCAGGACCUCACAGGCAGCCUACCUCGUGGAUGCUUGCCCAGGUCUAAGCUUACACGGUUUCCCUGUCGCCUCUAAAUACCCAGCUUCCUCUCUGAAUGGCCCACAGCGAAUGCACGUCUAUAGUACAGGUUUGCUAAUACCUGAAGUUAGGUCUCAUGUGUCUUCCAACUUGGCUUUUCCUUUUUCAGGCUGAUUCUGUGGAUCUGGAUCCUUCGUGUGGUGGCUCACUUAACCAAAGAGAAUGAACUUCCUGGAGAGAAGAGAACAGUGCUUCAGCCAAGCAAAGCUUGUGUAGCUGUGCUUCUAAACUAGACUGUCCAAAAAGCCCAUGAGCAUUUUCUAGACCAGCAUCCCAUCUCAUUCAGCCUUUCCUCCCUUUCAGAGUUUCCAGAACUUUCACCAUCCUGGAGGUCCAGCACUAGCUGGUAUCAGUUAACCAAUGGUCUUAACAGAGAUAAUAAUAUUCCAUUGUAUAUAUACAUAUAUACACACAGCAUUUUGUCCAUCUGUUCGUCCAUUGAUGCAUGCUUGGAUUGCUUCCACCUUUGACUCUUGUGAAUAAUGCUGCUAUGAACAUGGCUGUACAAAUAUUUGCUCAAGUCCCUGCUUUCAUUUCCGUGGGGUAUAUACCCAGAAGUGGAAUUGCUGGAUCAUAUGGUAAUCCCAUGUUUUGAGGAACUGUUAUGCUGUUUUCCACAGGAACUGCACAUGAUCUUUUUUUUUUUUUUACUGCAUAUGCUAUAGUAUAAUUAUAACAAUUUAUUAGAUAUUGCCAAACUUUUUUCUAAAAUUAUAUAUAUAUACACACACCCCUACCAGCAGUGACUCAAAUCUUUGCCAACACUAUUAUCAGAUUUCUUAAUUUUGGCAAAUUUAGUGGUUUUAAAAUGAU